AUUUUAGAAAUUUUGAACGUCAGGUCCCAAAUAGUAAAAUGGCGUCUUUUCGACUUUUGUAAACAAAAGAGAAAACCGGUUUCAUCCGGUUCCGCUGUCAGCCGAUAGCACAUCAAACGCUUGGGUGUGUAAUGUUACAAAGCUUAGUGAAUUGCGAACUGCAGAUUCUGUUACAAAAUUCACGGGAAUAUAAAAUUGUUUCUACAAAUAGCGGAGAACGAAGUUUUUUCUUCAUUUUUUUAGUUAUUUUUUAGGACAGGACUAGACACGCCGGUUCGUGAAUCUUGAUUUGAAGACGCACUUUGUCGUGAGGUCAGUGUGCAUAGCAUUCUCCGUGUGCGGUAAGCUUCCGUGCAAAUGUUCAAAAUAUGAAUUUCACUUCACCAAGAAACUAAACUGGUGUUCUGUCGUUCAAUUGUGUGUCUGUAUGUCUAUGUGUGCGUGUGGAGUGAGAGAGAGAGGGGGAGAAUAUUAGACUUCCGUAGGAAAGGCCGGCCGGUUGUGUUUAUAUUACGGGCGGGCGGGCUCUACGCCGCCCCCGCUGAAUCUUGCAGCUGCGCCCGGCAGUCACGGUCACGGUAAGUUGGGUGAAUUUUCAUGGUGUUGCGGUUGCUAUGCUUUCGUCCGUGUUACCAUGCGUUUUAUUACUACUUCCAAUCCAUUCUAUAGUAUAAGGUAUAAUUUAAACAAAGAAAAUUGCGGGGCAAAGGACGCCAGUUUGAAGUUUACCAUGUGAUGUAAUGCCCAGCGUAUUACCGAUAUCGAUACAUUCGCCACGUCAAGCGCUGGUAUGGACCUAGUUCAUUUACAGAAUGACGAGAAUAUAAGGAGUUUGUUAUUUGAGA